UACGUAGGGGGCUAGCGUUGUCCGGAAUCAUUGGGCGUAAAGAGCUCGUAGGCGGUUCAGUCAGUCGGGUGUGAAAUCUCCGGGCUCAACCCGGAGGGGCCACCCGAUACUGCUGUGACUCGAGUCCGGUAGGGGAGUGGGGAAUUCCUGGUGUAGCGGUGAAAUGCGCAGAUAUCAGGAGGAACACCGGUGGCGAAGGCGCCACUCUGGGCCGGUACUGACGCUGAGGAGCGAAAGCGUGGGUAGCAAACAGG
rnacentral:rRNA from 1 species